rnacentral:rRNA from 1 species
GACAGAGGGUGCAAACGUUGUUCGGAAUUACUGGGCGUAAAGCGCGUGUAGGCGGCAGGGCAUGUCGGAUGUGAAAUCCCGUGGCUCAACCACGGAAGUGCACCCGAAACUGCCCAGCUCGAGUCUCGGAGAGGAAGGCGGAAUGCUUGGUGUAGAGGUGAAAUUCGUAGAUAUCAAGCGGAACACCGGUGGCGAAGGCGGCCUUCUGGACGAUGACUGACGCUGAGACGCGAAAGCGUGGGGAGCGAACAGG